GACGAACGCGGCGGCGUGCCUAAUACAUGCAAGUAGAACGCACAGGAUGCACCGUAGUUUACUACACCGUAUUCUGUGAGUUGCGAACGGGUGAGUAACGCGUAGGUAACCUGCCUGGUAGCGGGGGAUAACUAUUGGAAACGAUAGCUAAUACCGCAUAAGAACAUUUACUGCAUGGUAGAUGUUUAAAAGGUGCAAAUGCAUCACUACCAGAUGGACCUGCGUUGUAUUAGUUAGUAGGUGAGGUAACGGCUCACCUAGGCGACGAUACAUAGCCGACCUGAGAGGGUGAUCGGCCACACUGGGACUGAGACACGGCCCAGACUCCUACGGGAGGCAGCAGUAGGGAAUCUUCGGCAAUGGGGGGAACCCUGACCGAGCAACGCCGCGUGAGUGAAGAAGGUUUUCGGAUCGUAAAGCUCUGUUGUUAAGGAAGAAACGAGUGUGAGAAUGGAAAG
rnacentral:rRNA from 1 species